rnacentral:rRNA from 1 species
GAAACACCAGCUACCAUAUGAUCACCAAAGUUAAGCAAUGUUGAGUCUGGUCAGUACCUAGAUGGGUGACCACUUAGGAAUAGCAGGUGCUGUAA